CCCCUGGGCCGGGCGGGAUCCUCCCAGGCGCCCCGACAGCGGUUUUCCGUUUUUGCCUGGCGGAGGCUUGGUGUAAGCCGCUUUGGCUUUUUUUUUUCCUCCCCCCACCCCUAUUCCGCGUGGAAAGAGGUGCCUGGUGAUGCAGGGAGCCUUCUCUCCCCCACGAGGGCAGCAAUGCGGGGGUGCAGGCCCCCGUGGGUCAGGGCUCCCCUUGAAGCUCACUAAUCCGGGGAGUUCAUGGGACCUCUGUCAAGUCCGUGUUUUCUUAUCUGUAAACGAGAGACAGGGGUAUCCAGCGUGUUGUGAGAUUUAAAGAGAAAAUGGAGGCACAGUCCUUAGCACAGCACCUGACACCCGGGGAGGACGGAUGUCAGCUAAGAUGAGAAUACAAAACAAAGGGAACUCGCCCAAGGUCACCAGCUAUUAGCUCUGGCCCUGCCGCUGGAAUCCAGAUCCCGGGGCUUAAGAGCACACACAUUCGAACCCGGGAGUAGAGUUUAGUAUUACUGGUGUUAAAACCCUGGAAGCAAGGGACCUGGAUUUAAGGCCUGCCUCCCAGCAUCUCCUCAGAUUAACUUGGGCAUCUCAUUUAAUGCCUACUUUCAGGUAGAUAUUCAGGUCCAACUCUCUCCCGCCUAAAAUGGAAUUUAUGACAGAACUACUGUUCCUACCUUAGUUGGUUAUUGUGACCAUCAAGUGAAUGACUGGGUUUGGAAUAGUAUUUUAAACUAUAUAGAGUGCUUGAUAAUUACUUGGCAAUUACUACAAAAUAAAAAUUUUAAUGAU